UACGUAGGGUCCGAGCGUUGUCCGGAAUUAUUGGGCGUAAAGGGCUCGUAGGCGGUCCGUCACGUCGGGAGUGAAAACUCGGAGCUCAACUCCGAGCCUGCUUCCGAUACGGGCAGACUUGAGGUAUUCAGGGGAGAACGGAAUUCCUGGUGUAGCGGUGAAAUGCGCAGAGUAUCAGGAGGAACACCGGUGGCGAAGGCGGCUCUCUGGACCACAACUGACGCUGAGGCGACGAAAGCUAGGGGAGCAAACGGG
rnacentral:rRNA from 1 species